UACGAAGGGGGCUAGCGUUGCUCGGAAUUACUGGGCGUAAAGGGCGCGUAGGCGGGUCGUUUAGUUAGAGGUGAAAGCCCAGGGCUCAACCCUGGAAUUGCCUUUAAUACUGGCGGCCUUGAGUAUGGCAGAGGUGUGUGGAACUCCGAGUGUAGAGGUGAAAUUCGUAGAUAUUCGGAAGAACACCAGUGGCGAAGGCGACACACUGGCCAUUACUGACGCUGAGGCGCGAAAG
rnacentral:rRNA from 1 species